rnacentral:lncRNA from 1 species
GUUAAUAUUCUCUAUAUUUUCUGUAUUAAUCCCAAUUUUGCCCUGUGUGGGAGUUGCACGCUCUUCUCUGUUCUCUGUUCUCUCUUCUCUCUUCUCUCUUCUGCGUAACACCACAUCUCUUCUCUCUCUCCCGAGUGAAGUCCCGACGUGACUUUUUAGGUUUGGCGUCGACCUCUUUGCUUGUUUUUGUUUUUCGAUUUCAGUCCCUUAGGUUCAUUUUAGGUUCUAGGUUUUGCUUUUUUUGUGUUCCUCUGGGAAAUCGAAAUCGAGGCCCCAAUUUUGACAUCAAGAUGCAUCUGUGGUCUGAAAUGAGUUCAUCACUAUUUACGGCUCAUGGCUUCUCGUCCUUGUCUCUUCUUAGCUUCUCUAGCUCUGUCUCUCCUGCUCUUUAUCGUCACAGCUCAUCUCUCUCCUCGCCUCCAUUAUUCUCCCCAAGUCCCAGGUUCCCAGCUCCUGCUCUUUCUCAUUUUUUUCGUUUUCCUUUGAGGGUUCCUGGUAAAUCGGUUAGAUAAUAAGAAGUUAGCUUCGUAUUCUUGGGUUUGGUGCUUCAGCUUGAGUUAUUGAAAUUGCCAAGCUCUCUAAUUUCAUGUUAAGCUCUCCAAAAUCACAUAGAACACUCACCGAGAAAAUUGCCUUUCCACGUCAAGGAGAAUCUCAGCAUCUUCUGCAAUGGUAAUGGGUUUCAAUUUCAAUGAGAUAAAUAAGACGAAGAAGACUUCAUUGGACUUGGCUUGGGACAGAUCCUCUCACUUCUAUGUACGAAUUAAUGCCUUUACAUCCUCUAAGCUCGCCAGAACUUUGUGUUGUCGCCAACUAGAAACAUAUUAAGUUAUUAACAAUGUAAGUGAUACUUAAUCAAAACAAAUAGUACAAUAUAAGUAUAUAUAGUACAACGUAAAUAGUAUAGUCCACGCAAACAUUACUUAUGUAUUUUGUGAAGUUUGUUUGGCUUAUUAUCUUAGAUUUUGUUGUAUUAUAUAGAUUAUAGAACACAAAUCAGUCUAUUUUAUUUUUGUUGGUAGAAACCAUAUGAAAUAG